GUUGAUGCAGCACUUGCUUUGCAAUCCAAAGGCCAUGAGAUUCAUAUAGUUACUUCUUACCAUGAUCCUGGGCAUAGCUUUCCUGAAACCAAUGAUGGCACUAUUGCAGUUACUGUAAGUGGCAAUUGGCUCCCACGCAGCAUAUUUGGGAGAUUUCUUGCAUUGUGUGCUUAUGUACGCAUGGUAUGGGCAUCAUUCUACACAGUGUUUUUCAGUGAUUUGAACCCUCAAGUCUAUUUUUGUGAUCAGGUAUCAAUGUGCAUACCAGUUUUAAAGACAUUCACACUUGUGCCAGUCGUA